rnacentral:rRNA from 1 species
AUUGAACGCUGGCGGCAGGCCUAACACAUGCAAGUCGAACGGUAACAGGAAGAAGCUUGCUUCUUUGCUGACGAGUGGCGGACGGGUGAGUAAUGUCUGGGAAACUGCCUGAUGGAGGGGGAUAACUACUGGAAACGGUAGCUAAUACCGCAUAACGUCGCAAGACCAAAGAGGGGGACCUUCGGGCCUCUUGCCUUCGGAUGUGCCCAGAUGGGAUUAGCUAGUAGGUGGGGUAACGGCUCACCUAGGCGACGAUCCCUAGCUGGUCUGAGAGGAUGACCGGCCACACUGGAACUGGGACACGGUCCAGACUCCUACGGGAGGCAGCAGUGGGGAAUAUUGCACAAUAGGCGCAAGCCUGAUGCAGCCAUGCCGCGUGUAUGAAGAAGGCCUUCGGGUUGUAAAGUACUUUCAGCGGGGAGGAAGGGAGUAAAGUUAAUACCUUUGCUCAUUGACGUUACCCGCAGAAGAAGCACCGGCUAACUCCGUG